rnacentral:rRNA from 1 species
AUGGCGACGAGGCCGGGCGACGAGACCGCGCAGCCCCCGCCGAAGCGCCCCCGCCACGACGGCGACCGACCCGAGCCCGAGCCGGCGCCGGCACCGGCGCGCGUGCAGCUCAACCCGGCGGACUGCAACCUCGACUUCGACGUCGGCGCCGGCGGGCUGCGGGGGGAGGCGCUGCACGGGGGCGGGUUCGCCUACUGCUGGUCGGGCGCGCGCGCGACGGCGGGGGCCCGGGGCGGCGGGCGGUACUGCUUCGGGUGCAGGGUGGUGGCGGAGCAGGCCGUGGAGAUGGGCGACACGGAGGCCGCCCAGCGCCACCUCUGCCGCGUCGGCGUCUCCCGGGGGGACGACCCCGUGGGCGGCCUCGGGGAGGCCGGCGGCCGCGGCUUCGGGUUCGGGGGCACGGGGAAGCUCUCCCACCGGGGCAGGUUCUUCGAUUACGGCGCCGCGUUCGGGGUCGGGGACACCGUCGUCUGCGCCGUGGACCUCGAUUCCAAGCCCAUGGCCUCGAUUGGGUUCGCCAAGAACGGCGAGUGGCUCGGCAUUGCUCACUACUUUGAUGCCGGACACAAGGGGUUUGGUCUGGUUGAUGCUCCUGUGAGGCCGAUGCAGUGGGAGUCAGCAAUCUUCCCGCAUGUCCUGCUGAAGAAUGUCGUCGUCGAGAUGCAGUUUAGCAGGGAGGAUGGGCUGGAGCCGGUCGAUGGCUACGAGCCCUGGACCUCAUCUUUGGUCGAUGGCAAUGCGGUGCUUGGGCCUGUGUUUGCAGAACGGAAGGAGUGUGAGGUUAUGAUGAUGGUUGGCCUCCCGGCUUCGGGGAAGACUACUUGGGCAGAGAAGUGUGUCAGGGAACAUCCGGAGAAACGCUUCGUCCUUCUUGGAACCAACCUUGCAUUGGACCAAAUGAAGGUGCCGGGAUUGCUUCGUAAGAACAACUAUGGUGAGCGCUUUGACCGUUUGAUGGAUCACGCCACACAGAUUUUCAACACAUUGCUGGACAGAGCCGCAAAGAUCCCCCGCAAUUACAUUCUCGACCAAACAAAUGUGUACAAAAGCGCCCGUAUUCGCAAGCUGAGGCCAUUUGCAAACUACUAUAAAAUUGCUGUGGUUGUUUUCCCAUCGCCAAGUGAACUCAAUUCCCGGGCAGCAAAACGAUUCCAGGAGAUGGGGAAGGAUGUACCGGCUGAAGCAGUUGAUCAGAUGACAGCCAAUUUUGUCUUGCCACUGUCAAAUGACAUUCCUGGUUCAAAGGAGCCUUUCGAUGAGGUGAUUUUUGUGGAGCUUUCCAGGGAUGAUGCCCAGAGAGACCUAGACGAGAUGAAGCGUCUGCUGCCAAGAGCCUCGACUACCAGCCAUGGCAAUUUCAGUAACCAGAUGGUGAGCUCAGCAUAUACCGGGACUGUUUCUGUGGCAGGACCAUCUCCAUCGCCAGGCUUUGAACCACCAAUGAACUACUCCUAUGGACAAGGUGUGCAUGCUCCGGGUGCACAGGCUGGCUACUCAAAUGCUCCAUAUCAGAUCCAGUCAAGCUACUCGAAUGCCCCAUAUCAGCAACAGACAUGCGCAAGCUACCCAAAUCCAAGCUAUCCAAACACCGCAGACCAGAAUCAAGUUCACGCAAGCUACACAAGCACCGCAGACCAGCAUCAAGUUCACACAAGCUACGCAAGCACCGCAGACCAGCAUCAAGCCUACGGAAGCUACGCAAGCGCCCCGCUUCCUGGAUAUGGAUCACCAAAUGCAUAUGGUUCCCAAGGGUACCCAAGUCCAUACAGCAGCCCUGGUUACGCGAUGAACAUCUACCAGACUCCUGAGCCAGAGGGAGAAUACGUGGGAUCCGGCUACGGACCUGCACCCCCAGUCCAUGCCCAGCCAUCCGGCUACCGUCAUGAUGGUGCUUCCUCAUGGAGCUCUGGCAGUUACAGACCCUAUGGACAGCAGCCUCUUGAUGCGCGCUACACAAACACGAGCUCGCAGUACGGUGCUGCAGUCCCCAUGCCGCCUCCGCACGGAGCUCUUCUGCAUCCAGUUCCUGGGCCGCCGCCUUCAGCACCUCCCCCUCCUCCCUACUACAUGAAUGCACAGCCAGGCCGUUGGUAG